rnacentral:tRNA from 1 species
AGCCAUCUAAUGGAAAUUGGUAAACCUCGGAAGCUCAAACCUUCUGGAUAUCCCGGUUCGAGUCCGGGGAUGGCUACCA